UACGAAGGGGGGCUAGCGUUGCUCGGAAUCACUGGGCGUAAAGGGUGCGUAGGCGGGUCUUUAAGUCAGGGGUGAAAUCCUGGAGCUCAACUCCAGAACUGCCUUUGAUACUGAAGAUCUUGAGUUCGGGAGAGGUGAGUGGAACUGCGAAGUGUAGAGGUGAAAUUGUAGAUAUUCGCAAGAACACCAGUGGCGAAAGGCGGCUCACUGGCCCCGAUACUGACGCUGAGGCACGAAAGCGUGGGGAGCAAACAGG
rnacentral:rRNA from 1 species